rnacentral:rRNA from 1 species
GACGAACGCUGGCGGCGUGCUUAACACAUGCAAGUCGAACGGAAAGGCCCUGCUUUUGUGGGGUGCUCGAGUGGCGAACGGGUGAGUAACACGUGAGUAACCUGCCCUUGACUUUGGGAUAACUUCAGGAAACUGGGGCUAAUACCGGAUAGGAGCUCCUGCUGCAUGGUGGGGGUUGGAAAGUUUCGGCGGUUGGGGAUGGACUCGCGGCUUAUCAGCUUGUUGGUGGGGUAGUGGCUUACCAAGGCUUUGACGGGUAGCCGGCCUGGGAGGGUGACCGGCCACCUUGGGACUGAGAUACGGCCCAGACUCCUACGGUAGGCAGCAGUGGGGAAUAUUGCACAAUGGGCGGAAGCCUGAUGCAGCAACGCCGCGUGCGGGAUGACGGCCUUCGGGUUGUAAACCGCUUUCGCCUGUGACGAAGCGUGAGUGACGGUAAUGGGUAAAGAAGCACCGGCUAACUACGUG